GACGGAGGGUGCAAGCGUUGUUCGGAUUGACUGGGCGUAAAGGGCGCGUAGGCGGGCGAUCAAGUCAGGGGUGAAAUCCUCCAGCUUAACUGGAGAACUGCCUCUGAUACUGGUCAUCUUGAGUGAGGUAGGGGCGUGCGGAACUGAUGGUGGAGCGGUGAAAUGUGUUGAUAUCAUCAGGAACGCCGGUGGCGAAAGCGGCGCGCUGGACCUUAACUGACGCUGAGGCGCGAAAGCGUGGGGAGCAAACAGG
rnacentral:rRNA from 1 species